rnacentral:tRNA from 1 species
CAUGGUGUAAUAGUGAGCAUGUUGGACUCUGAAUUCAGACAUCCAAGUUCAAAUCUCGGUG